rnacentral:rRNA from 1 species
GAUGAACGCUGGCGGCGUGCCUAAUACAUGCAAGUCGAGCGAAGCGGGGACGGGUGAGUAACACGUGGAUAACCUCCUAUAAGACUGGGAUAACUUCGGGAAAACGGAGCUAAACCGGAAACUUAUAGAUGGAUCGGAGCCGUAUUAGCUAGUUGGUGAGGUAACGGCUUACCAAGGCAACGAUGCGUAGCCGACCUGAGAGGAUGAUCAGCCACACUGGAACUGAGACACGGUCCAGACUCCUACGGGAGGCAGCAGUAGGGAAUAUUCCGCAAUGGGCGAAAGCCUGACGGAGCAACGCCGCGUGAAUGAAGAAGGUCUUCGGGUCGUAAAACUCUGUUAUUAGGGAAGCGGUACCUAAACAGAAAGCCCCGGCUAACUACGUGCCAGCAGCCGCGGUAAUAC